rnacentral:ncRNA from 1 species
GCGUUGAAGCGGGAGGUUGCGGCUUUUGGCCGGUUUUUCCGUGGAGUAUGUCCGAUUUUAAACCGGGCG